rnacentral:lncRNA from 1 species
UUUUUUUUUUUUUUAGCUUCUCUUCUUUUGAAGCAAGAAAUGAUGCAAACAACAUAGGUACUUCUUUCCUGCUCAAAUAAUUAUGCAGAGCGUUGUUCAGUUAUUCAGCAUCCCAAUUCACUCAGCUGUUUUUCUUUUGUAACUGUCUAUAGAGGGAAGGUGUGUACUACUCCUGAUGUUGUCCUGAAGACUCUGCUGGAUGAAGCCACCCGGUGAUCUGUGCUCCUUGUUAACCAAUGUAACCUCUUUUCUUUGAGAGGUAAAACCAGACCAAGUUCAGUCAUGCCAAUAAUCAUGCCAUAACAUCCAGCUAACUUUGGCACUUUCCAUCUUUGAUAUAAUACGGGAAAAGAAAAAAUCAUCUCCUACACUUACUACUUCAGCUGAAGAAACUACCAAGAGUAUUGAGGCUGCAGUUCCUCACCACCAUGUGAAUCAAAGUUCCUCUGGGUUCCUCACCAUCCGUAUAGAAUGAGAUCCAGUAUUUGAACCCACUUUCCUGAAACAGAGUUCAUUUAGGCUGACUAUCCCCACCCACCCCCUCACCACAACUCACCAGAUGAUGUACAAAGACAGUCGGUCAUAACACUCUUCUCAGAGGUGCAUGGAGCUCACCGACAUUGUCUGGGCCUGUGGUAGCUUUUCUUUCUUUUUUUUGGGGUGAUAAAAAAUAUAUUUUGUAAAUAUAUUUACAAAAACAGAUCUAGUCCACAUGGCUGCUUGAACUAGACAAAGAAAAGAUGGCUUGGAUGGUUUACUUAAGGGGGUACAUCAAAGGCAGGGAUAAAGUUUCAAGGGUGGAGUCUUGCUUUGGAUGUCUUGCAGUCAGCAGGUUGAUUGACAUCUGGACAGGUUACAUCUGUCUCAGGUGCUGUAUGGGCCUGGGAUAGAAAAUCACACUGUCCCUGGGCAAUUGACCAUAGAAAAUGUCCACUGGUCAUUCCCAGACACCAGAUGUUUCUAUCCACUAGGCUUCAAUGCACGGUAACCCACACAGAACCUAUGGAUGGCUCCUGACAAUGAUGGGGUCUUCUACUUUCAAUUAUGAUUUUGCUGCAGCCUAGAUAAGGCCUCAAGAAUCCCUCUCAACAGAGCUCAGAAAAAAAAUAAAUAAAAUAAAAUAAAAAUGUUGUAGAGCAGAUUUGGCAAAAUGCUUCAAUGUGAAGUCCUAAAGUGGGCUGCCCAGAGAGAGGGCCAGGCUCUGUGGUAGCUUUUCUGAUCUCAGGGCCCACAUAUACUGUUCACUUAUCCAUGUGUAGAGCAGGGUAGAGGUGCAGAGGCAGAGAUGGUGUUCUAUAGGCUCUGCCUGGCUGGUGUCUGGGAUGGGUGAGAUAUACAGGAAACUGGCAAUAUGUCCUU